CUCGAGUUAGUUUAAGCAAAAAAUAGCGGCUUUGGGGGCUGCAGAUGAGUUUCAUCACUUGUGA
rnacentral:tRNA from 1 species